rnacentral:rRNA from 1 species
GAGUCGGACCUGCCCAGUGAAUAUUUUUUAACGGCCGCGGUACUCUGACCGUGCAAAGGUAGCAUAAUCAUUUGCCCUAUAAUUGAGGGCUAGUAUGAAUGGUUUGACGUGAACAAGACUGUCUCUGUAUAAUUUUUUAGAAUUUGAUUUUUAGGUGAAGAAACCUAAAUAUUAUUGAAAGACAAGAAGACCCUAUUGAGCUUCAAAAAAAUAAAUUGAGGGUAUUAUAUAAUUUUAAAUAAUAAUCUAUUAGAAAUUUUGGUUGGGGCGACCAUGGAACAAAUAAAGCUUCUUUAUUAUAAAUAAAACUGACAGGUAUUGAUCCAAAAAUUUUGAUUAAUGAAAUUAGUUACCAUAGGGAUAACAGCAUAAUUCGUUUUGAGAGUUCUUAUCGAAAAGGGAGUUUGUGACCUCGAUGUUGGACUAGAAUAUCCUAAAGAUGCAGCAGUCUUUAAGGGUUGGUC